AGAGAAGUGUGUAACCACGGUAAUUUCUGACCCCACUUCCGCCAGUCCCUUUAUUGUGGCGGGAAUGAACCCCGUAUAAGUUCCGGGUCAAUCGGCUGCAUGUUCCCUGCUCCUCUGGCUGCUGUUGUCCCUGUGGUUGGCGUUCUUGUCAGAUAUUGACAACUUUUACACUACAUACUAGUUGACAGCGUGCAAUAACCCGGCCGAUUCAUUCAUCUUUACACCACCUCACAAUCGACUCAACGGUCAGGUUUUUUUUCCCCGCGAUCAUCUCUGAUCAGCGCGGGAUGGCGAGCCACCCAACUACCGCUGCACUGCGGCUCCAUAGUCGAAACUACUUCUGGUUGCUCAUUUUCUAUGAAGCUGCAGUCAGGCGCCCUGGUCCUUCACCGUGUUACAAGUGGAUGGAAAUUCUUCAGGCAGCUGACCUCCCCAAUAAUGCAGGCUGUUGUAUCCUUUGUACUCAGCAUCCCAUCUUCCACUGGGUUUGAGGAGAAGAAUAAGUGGACUGAUGUGCGGAACAAAUGUUCUACUGAGUUAAUUAGAAGUGAGCUCAUUGUCAGUCUAAAUUAUGAUAUGUCUUGCUCAGAGUUUUACUCUGCAGUACUGAAAGACAAACAACUCCUAACUGCAGCAAGAGCUCAAAAAAAUACAAAUGGAAAAAGUAGUCUCUUUCCACAUAAUGUAGCAUUGAGCUUUUGAGUUCAUGAGUUUGUUGGGUUUUUUUUACUUCAACUUUCAGCUACAGUCAAGGCCUUUGAGGCACAAAUAUUGUGUUUACAGGUGUUCCACAGACUUUGUUUGCACUUUUCUAAUUGCACUAAAUGUGCGCUGUUACAAGAAUGUUUUUCUUUCUAUUGUUUUCUAUUAAUUUAUAUAAUUUUAGGUUAAGCAGGACAGAGUUCUUUGUGUUAAUUUUGUCAUUUUGCACAAAAAGUGAAGCGUACCAGUCCUUCGUUUAGGAAAGAGACCUAUUUUAUUGUGUUAAUGUUGUCAUUUUGCGUUAAAAAUAAAUGGCUAAAUGAUCAUUUGUUUCCCAUGUGUUCAUAUCACAAAGAAUAUGCAUCUACUUAAAUCAACUUCAAGUCAAAUGGUUAAAAA